rnacentral:rRNA from 1 species
CAAUAGCGUAUAUUAAAGUUGUUGCGGUUAAAAAGCUCGUAGUUGGAUUUCUGCUGAGAACGACCGGUCCGCCCUUUGGGUGUGUAUCUGGCUCUUUCUUGGCAUCUUCUUGGUGAACGUUGCUGCACUUGACUGUGUGGAGCGCUACCCAGGACUUUUACUUUGAGGAAAUUAGAGUGUUUCAAGCAGGCAUACGCCUUGAAUACAUUAGCAUGGAAUAAUAAGAUAGGACCUCGGUUCUAUUUUGUUGGUUUCUAGAGCUGAGGUAAUGAUUAAUAGGGAUAGUUGGGGGCAUUCGUAUUUAACUGUCAGAGGUGAAAUUCUUGGAUUCGUUAAAGACGGACUACUGUGAAAGCAUUUGCCAAGGAUGUUUUCAUUGA